rnacentral:tRNA from 1 species
GGAGAAAUGGCAGAGUGGUUGAUUGCGGCAGUUUCGAAAAUUGUUUUAACCUAAUACUUCAGGUUAACGGGGGUUCAAAUCCCUUUUUCUCCA